UACGUAGGGUGCGAGCGUUGUCCGGAAUUAUUGGGCGUAAAGGGCUCGUAGGCGGUUUGUCGCGUCGGGAGUGAAAUCCACUGGCUUAACUGGUGGCUUGCUUUCGAUACGGGCAGACUGGAGGUAUGCAGGGGAGAACGGAAUUCCUGGUGUAGCGGUGAAAUGCGUAGAUAUCAGGAGGAACACCGGUGGUGUAGACGGCUUACUGGACCACGACUGACACUGAGGCACGAAAGCGUGGGGAGCAAACAGG
rnacentral:rRNA from 1 species